AAUGAGGUGCCUGAUAAAAGGAUUAUCUUGAUAGGAUAAAUCAUGUAAUAACCAAAUACCCCCAUUA
rnacentral:tRNA from 1 species